rnacentral:tRNA from 1 species
GCCCAGGUGGCGAAAUUGGUAGACGCGCUCGUUUCAGGUGCGAGUAGUUAACAGCUGUGCAGGUUCGAGUCCUGUUCUGGGCA